rnacentral:lncRNA from 1 species
UUCCUGCUUCAACUUUCUGGGCCCUCACUCACCUCAUUCGCUCCAGUGCUCAGUUGUGUAGAUUGGUGGGGAUGUCGAGGAUACAAAGAUGAAGGAAGAAGAAUGGCUGUCUUUCUUUCUAUUCAGAAAAGAUCCCAGAUUUUCAAUCUCCAUGACCUUCAUGAACUCUGUCCUGUUCCUUCAGGCCAGUAAGACUGAUGUUUUCUACCUGGAUUUUAGUUACCCUGUAAAAUGACGCUGACUAGGUCCUUCUCUUAUCUUAAAAUCAGCAAAAGUAAAUCAUCCAUGCCAUUUUUUCUGGCAAAUAUCGACUGCUCCAAUCCAGUUUCUGGAUGCUUUUGGCCACUUCAGGAAAAUGUAUGUAUGUGUGUAAGUAUAUAUUUGUGUGUUUGUUGUGGUAAGAGCAUUUAACAUGAUAAUAUGAGAUGUACUCUCUUAACAAAUUUUUAAGCAUGCAAUAACAGCAUCGUUAACUAUGAGCACUAUGUUGUACAACAGAUAUCUAGAAGAUAUUAAUCUUUUAUAAUUGAAACUUUUAUAUUUGUUGAAUAGUAACUCUUCAUUUCUGUCUGCCCCCCACCUAGCCCCUGGAAACCAUCAUUCUCUUUUCUGCUUCUAUGAAUUUGGUUCUUUUUGGUAGUUGAUAUAAGUUGAUAUAAGUGUAAUCCUACAGUGUUUGUCUUGCAGUGACUGGCUUACUUUACUUAGUAUAGUGUUACCAAGGUUCGGCCAUGUUAUUGUAUAUGGCAGGAUUUCCUUCUUCUUUUUUUUUUUGAGAUGGAGUCACCCUCUUGUUGCCCA